rnacentral:rRNA from 1 species
UACGUAGGUCCCGAGCGUUGUCCGGAUUUAUUGGGCGUAAAGCGAGCGCAGGUGGUCUAUUAAGUCUGGUGUAAAAGGCAGUGGCUCAACCAUUGUAUGCAUUGGAAACUGGUAGACUUGAGUGCAGGAGAGGAGAGUGGAAUUCUAUGUGUAGCGGUGAAAUGCGUAGAUAUAUGGAGGAACACCGGUGGCGAAAGCGGCUCUCUGGCCUGUAACUGACACUGAGGCUCGAAAGCGUGGGGAGCAAACAGG